GAACUGUUAUGGAGUUUUGUUGGCUACAAACUACUACAUAUAAAACAGCUGUGCCCUACACUCAUUUUGUCAUUUACAGAUGCUAAGUGGUUACUAUUAUGGCGUCAAGACUGAAGAUAGAACUGCACAUCAGGAUAAACCAACAUGAAGACCAGAGAUCUGUCUAUAGGAGGAAAAACAAACCAUUUUGAAGCUGAGAAACGAGGAAAAAAUCAGAGCCAUUGCACACACAUUGGGCAACAAUUUAGAAUGUCAUGAAAAAUAUAUAAACCACUAGAUUACUGACAACCAGAUCUCAAACAGGUCGGCCAAGGAAAAGAACAGCAGUUGACAGAAACAUUGUGAGAGCAUAGAAGAAAAGCAUAAAAACAACAGUCAGUGACAUCACCAACAACUUCCACCAGGCAGGGGUAUCACAAUCCAGCAUUCAAAGAAGAAUUUUAGGAGCAGAAAUACAGAGGCUAUACCACAAGAUGCAAACCACUCAUCAGCAGUAAGAAUAAGAAAGCCAAAUAGGAAUUUGCAAAGAAAAACAGAGAUGAAACCACAAAAUUUCUAGAGCCAAGAUUAACCUCUACCAAAGUGAAGGAAAGGCCAAAGUGUGAAUAAAGAAAGGAUCUGCUCAUGAUCUAAAACAUCAAUCAAGCAUGGUGGAGGUAGUGUCAUGGCUUGGGCUUGCACGACUGCUUCUGGAACAGCCUCACUAUCUUUAUAAAUGUUGUAACUCCUGAUGGUAGCAGCACAACGAAUUCAGAAAUCUACAAAAAUAUUCUGUCUGCCAAUUUAUAGAGAAAUGCAUCCAAUCUAAUUGGGAGGAAUUUCUCAUGCAGCAAGACAAUGAUCCAAAACACACUUCUAACUCAUCAAAGGACUUCAUCAGGGGGGAAAACUUGAAGCAUUUAGGCUGGCCAAGUCAUUCACCAGACCUUAACCCAAUCGAGCAGCAUUUCACUUCCGAAUGGAGAAACUCCACAAAACAAACAACAACUGAAACAAGCCACUGCAAAAGCCCGGAAAAGCAUCGCAAAAAAGUAAUUGUAGUUUUUGCAAGGAAGAGAUACACAAUCAAAUAUUAAGUGCUAUUUACUGUAAGACUAUUUGCUCCAAUACUUUUGGUCACCCCAAAAUUGGGUGUCUUGAAAAAAGGUGCCAUGUUCUAAGCUGUUUAACACAUCUAGAUAUAAAUGAUGAAAUGAAAUCAGAAAUUCUGAUCUAUCAUCUCCUAUUCCUGUCAAACCCAAAUGUCUUCAGUGCAUAGCAAAAACAAACGAACCUGCCUUGCUGUUCCAAUACUUUCACAGGGUACUGUGUGUAAAACAAUCAGCUAGGAAUGCUUUAAAUAUCAGACUUUCCCUUUAGGGUUUAUUCUCAGUGAAGCAUUCCUAUAAAUGUGUGCUAUUCACUGACAGAAAGGUUACAUUGAACGAUAUUUAAAAUGUUUGUUUUGUAAACUUUG